UCCGGUUUGGCACCGGCAGUCUCCAAUGAGUCCUCGGCAUUACCCGCUGGCAACAUUGGACAGGGGUUGCGCUCGUUGCGCCACUUAAGGCAACACCUCACGGCACGAGCUGACGACAGCCAUGCAGCACCUGUGCAGGCUCCCGAAGGAGCGCCGGCUUUCACCGGUUUCACCCCGCAUGUCAAGCCCUGGUAAGGUGGGGAUGACGUAGACGUCAUAACC
rnacentral:misc_RNA from 1 species